rnacentral:rRNA from 1 species
GACGAACGCUGGCGGCGUGCUUAACACAUGCAAGUCGAACGGUGACGAUCAAGCUUGCUUGGUCUGAUCAGUGGCGAACGGGUGAGUAACACGUGAGUAACCUGCCCCAGACUCUGGGAUAACCCCGGGAAACCGGAGCUAAUACCGGAUAUGACAUGCCCCUGCAUGGGGAGUGUGUGGAAAGUUUUUUCGGUCUGGGAUGGACUCGCGGCCUAUCAGCUUGUUGGUGAGGUAAUGGCUCACCAAGGCGACGACGGGUAGCCGGCCUGAGAGGGCGACCGGCCACACUGGGACUGAGACACGGCCCAGACUCCUACGGGAGGCAGCAGUGGGGAAUAUUGCACAGUGGGCGAAAGCCUGACGAAGCGCCGCCGCGUGGGGAGUGACGGACUUCGGGUUGUAAACCUCUUUCAGCAGGGAAGAAGCGCAAGUGACGGUACCUGCAGAAGAAGCACCGGCUAACUACGUGCCAGCCGCCGCAGUAACAC